GUAGGGGAGCAAACGUUGUCCGGAUUAUUGGGCGUAAAGGGCUCGUAGGCGGUUCAACAAGUCGGUCGUGAAAACCCGGGGGGCUCAACCCCGGGGACGCCGGUCGAAACUGUUGUGACUAGAGUUCGGUAGAGGUGAGUGGAAUUCUCGGUGUAGCGGUGGAAUGCGCAGAUAUCGAGAGGAACACCAUUAGCGAAGGCGGCUCACUGGGCCGAUACUGACGCUGAGGAGCGAAAGCGUGGGGAGCAAACAGGAUUAGAUACCCUGGUAGUCCACGCCGUAAACGAUGAACACUAGGUGUGGCGGACUGAUUCAUGUCGGCUGCGCCGUAGCUAACGCAUUAAGUGUUCCGCCUGGGGAGUACGGCCGCAAAGGCUA
rnacentral:rRNA from 1 species